rnacentral:rRNA from 1 species
AGCAGCCGCGGUAAUUCCAGCUCCAAUAGCGUAUAUUAAAGUUGUUGCAGUUAAAAAGCUCGUAGUUGAAUUUCGGGAUUAAUAUGUUGGUCGUGCCUUGGUACGUACUGGCAUUAUUGAUUCCUACCUUCUGAAGAACCUCGAUGUCAUUAAUUUGGUGUCUUGGGGAAUCAGGACCGUUACUUUGAAAAAAUUAGAGUGUUUAAAGCAGGCUCGCGCUUGAAUACAUUAGCAUGGAAUAAUGAAAUAGGACGUUUGAUUCUAUUUUGUUGGUUUCUAGGAUCGACGUAAUGAUUAAUAGGGAUAGUUGGGGGCAUUAGUAUUCAAUUGUCAGAGGUGAAAUUCUUGGAUUUAUUGAAGACUGACUACUGCGAAAGCAUUUGCCAAGGAUGUUUUCAUUAAUCAAGAACGAAAGUUAGGGAUCGAAGACGAUCAGAUACCGUCGUAGUC